UCAUAGACUUCAGAUUUGUUUUUUUUUUUUUUGGCACCAAUUUCAGCGUCAAAGAUAUGCUUCGUCUAUUGGUCUUUUGAAUGAAUGAGAUGGAAAGCACAGGUAUCAGAAAAGCUCGCUUAGCUCCCUUGGCCUUCUUAAUCAUUUCCCUUGUGAUCAAUUUAUCCUCCAGCCCUCUGUUUGGCUGCUGAGAAAGUGUUGUUACUUGGAAACUGAUGAAGGCAAAAUGCUCUGGGGGAUUUUAGGAACUGCAUUAAAAACAGGCAUUACCAGUAAAAUUCCUUUAAGGAAGACCUGGAGCAUGUGCAGGGACUAAAGCUCAUGAAAUAAAUAUUUUACAUGAUGCUCGAUAACUCCUAUGUUCAAUAAUCAUACAUUGCUGGUAUUUGAAAUGCUUAGGGUUGGUCGCAGUUAGGAUGUCUGUAAUACUUGUCUUCUUCAAGAGAAUCAGUUGUCAAUAUGUAUGUAUUGGGAAGUCCAAGUGUGGAUGAUGGGUUCUUAUGAGUGAAGACUAAGGACAGGAUUUAAGUUGUUCUGAGACAUUUGAUGCUGCAAUCUACUUGAAUGUUUCUUGAGAGAGUA